UCGCGGCCUAUCAGCUUGUUGGCGGGGUAACGGCCCACCAAGGCGGUGACGGGUAGCUGGUCUGAGAGGAUGGCCAGCCACAUUGGGACUGAGAGACGGCCCAGACUCUUACGGGAGGCAGCAGUGGGGAAUCUUGCGCAAUGGGAGCAAUCCUGACGCAGCGACGCCGCGUGGGGGAGGAAGGGCUUCGGCUCGUAAACCCCUGUUGCCCGGGGCGAACCAUGGGUUUCGACCCAUCUGACGGUACCGGGUGAGGAAGCACCGGCUAACUCCGUGCCAGCAGCCGCGGUAAUACGGAGGGUGCGAGCGUUGUCCGGAAUCACUGGGCGUAAAGGGCGCGUAGGCGGCAUGCCAAGCGUGUGGUGAAAGCCCGGGGCUCAACCCCGGGUCGGCCGUGCGGACUGGCGUGCUCGAGCACUGUAGGGGCGGGUGGAAUUCCGGGUGUAGCGGUGGAAUGCGUAGAGAUCCGGAAGAACACCGGUGGCGAAGGCGGCCCGCUGGGCAGGAAGAAGGAGCAAUCCUUCGGCUGACGCUGAGGCGCGACAGCGUGGGGAGCAAACAGGAUUAGAUACCCUGGUAGUCCACGCCGUAAACGAUGGGCACUAGGUGCCUGGGGGAGCGACCCCCCGGGUGCCGGCGCUAACGCAUUAAGUGCCCCGCCUGGGGAGUACGGA
rnacentral:rRNA from 1 species